rnacentral:RNase_P_RNA from 1 species
GCGCGAGCCGACGGAAAGUGCAGCAGAGAGUAGACCGCCUUCAUUGUGGUUCUGAGCAAUCGGAACCGGAGGUAAGGGUGAAAGGGUGCGGUAAGAGCGCACCGCAUGACUGGUAACAGUUCAUGGCAUGGUAAACCCCACCGGAAGCAAGACCAAAUAGGGAUCCGUUAGGCAUGGCCCAUGCUGGAUCCGGGUAGGUCGCUUGAGCGUAUGAGUGAUUGUACGCCUAGAGGAAUGAUCGUUCUCGACAGAACCCGGCUUAUCGGCUCACUUCAACA